GCAAGUCGAACGGUAACGCGGGGUAACCUGGCGACGAGUGGCGAACGGGUGAGUAAAGCAUCGGAACGUGCCCAGUAGUGGGGGAUAGCCCGGCGAAAGCCGGAUUAAUACCGCAUACGACCUACGGGUGAAAGGGGGGGAUCGCAAGACCUCUCGCUAUUGGAGCGGCCGAUGUCAGAUUAGCUAGUUGGUGGGGUAAAGGCCUACCAAGGCGACGAUCUGUAGCUGGUCUGAGAGGACGACC
rnacentral:rRNA from 1 species